UCCACUUUUUAUAAUGUGGCCUUGGUCUGAGUUUUACUGCUAUAAAUAAGUUACAUCAGGAUGCAUUUGAACCUAUUUCUAUACCUAACAUGUUAUAUUCAGGCGUGAGCAAUGUAAUGUGACCCAAUGGAAAACUGUGACUGUGCCACAUUAGCUUCUUUCCUGACAGCUAGCUUGAAGAUGACAUAAACACUUUCAACCUAGCCUGACAUGUGACGGUUUCUAUGGUAACACAAUCACGCACAAACACGCACACAGGCAAGACGGAAUUCCUUCACUGAAGUUGCAAGGCCGUGGCAAAAUGGAUAGGAUCCUUAGGAUAUCCACAUUAUACAGCCUGUUUCACUGAGAACCUCAUUACACAUAAAAAAGCUGAUUUAUGUAAAUUGCCGCGAUCUGCCAAGAUUAGGAAUCACAGACUUUGAGGAUAUGAAGGCCAUCUCUGCCCAUGUGCGUGAGCUGCUGGGGAUUUCAGAGCCGCUGUGGAGCUGCAGCAUCGCAGACCACCGCCACCACCCCAGAGACAGCAUGGGCCUGUCCCUAGAUAAGAAUAGCAGGACAGGGGACUGGGCUGACUCCUUCACCUACAAACAGCUCCUCAACGACAGGAAACAGUUAAUGGAAUUUUGCGUGUGAUAAAAUGCUAAAUGACUAAAAUGUAAAAUGUAAAAUAAAAUGAACAUGUGAAUGGA